rnacentral:rRNA from 1 species
AUUGAACGCUGGCGGCAUGCCUUACACAUGCAAGUCGAACGGUAACAGGUCUUCGGAUGCUGACGAGUGGCGAACGGGUGAGUAAUACAUCGGAACGUGCCUAGUAGUGGGGGAUAACUACUCGAAAGGGGGGCUAAUACCGCAUGAGAUCUACGGAUGAAAGCAGGGGAUCGCAAGACCUUGUGCUACUAGAGCGGCCGAUGGCAGAUUAGGUAGUUGGUGGGAUAAAAGCUUACCAAGCCGACGAUCUGAAGCUGGUCUGAGAGGACGAUCAGCCACACUGGGACUGAGACACGGCCCAGGCUCCUACGGGAGGCAGCAGUGGGGAACUUUGGACAAUGGGCGCAAGCCUGAUCCAGCAAUGCCGCAUACAGGAUGGAGGCCUUCGGGUUGUAAACUGCUUUUGUACGGAACGAAAAGCCCCGGGUUAAUACCCUGGGGUCAUGACGGUACCGUAAGAAUAAGCACCGGCUAACUACGUGCCAGCCGCCGCAGGAC